ACCUUAUCGGGAACAGUGUUUCCCAUAAGCA
rfam:Tinamus guttatus contig55575, whole genome shotgun sequence.